UGGGCGUCAGGCCGCCCGCCGCCUGCGCGGCCCGCAGUGCUCCCUGCCUUUCCCUCUUUCCCAAGUUUUCACCGCGUACCUGGGACCAGGAGGCUGCUGGGUGGCCGAGAGCCAAUACUUCGUGGCUAAAGGUAGAACUUCCAGAACUAUGCUGAAUAAAAACAGUGAGUGGAUAUCCUUGUCCUGUUCCUGACAUUAGAGGAAAGGUAGGUCAGCUACAUCUUCUGGUCUUAAAAAAGUGGUGGCCUUGUGUAGAAGAGGUCCUGUGGUGCUCUGCAGCACAACACCCCCCUCAGGUCACCAGAACCAGAAGGACCUUGAAGGGCAGAGGAGAUUCUUCAAGAGCUGACAUAAUCAAUAUGGACACCAGUGCAACAGAGAUCCUUGGGACAUCUGACAUAUACCUGGCAAAAGAUGUUAUCACCAAAAUUAAUUUGUGAAAGAGCUCUUUUUGGUUGGUUUGAAGCCAAGAACUUCUGGAAGGACGAAAUGGCAGCACUCCAGCACCAGUCUGAACUAUGUGGAUGACAGCCCUACCCUAGGGUUGAUGGAACAGAAAGCUAGAAGGAGCCCGAUGAUUGUGUCAAACAGCCCUAGAUGGAUAAUCUCCAACUUUUACAUGAAAAAUAAACAAUGGUUGUUUAAGUCAC